ensembl:misc_RNA Y_RNA Y RNA
GGCUAGUCCGAAUUCAGUGGUGUUUACAACAAAUUGCUCACAAUUACACAUUUCCUUGUUUAUUUUACACUCCCGCUGCUUCACUUGACUAGCCUCAA